UACGUAGGGGGCAAGCGUUGUCCGGAUUUAUUGGGCGUAAAGAGCGUGUAGGCGGCCGUACAGGUCAGCUGUGAAAACUCGAAGCUCAACCUCGAGACGUCGGUUGAAACCGUACGGCUAGAGUCCGGAAGAGGAGAGUGGAAUUCCCGGUGUAGCGGUGAAAUGCGCAGAUAUCGGGAAGAACACCCGUGGCGAAGGCGGCUCUCUGGGCCUUACCUGACGCUGAGGAGCGAAAGCGUGGGGAGCGAACAGG
rnacentral:rRNA from 1 species